rnacentral:rRNA from 1 species
AGUGAACGCUGGCGGUAGGCCUAACACAUGCAAGUCGAACGGCAGCACAGUAAGAGCUUGCUCUUACGGGUGGCGAGUGGCGGACAGGUGAGGAAUACAUCGGAAUCUACUUUUUCGUGGGGGAUAACGUAGGGAAACUUACGCUAAUACCGCAUACGACCUACGGGUGAAAGCAGGGGAUCUUCGGACCUUGCGCGAUUGAAUGAGCCGAUGUCGGAUUAGCUAGUUGGCGGGGUAAAGGCCCACCAAGGCGACGAUCCGUAGCUGGUCUGAGAGGAUGAUCAGCCACACUGGAACUGAGACACGGUCCAGACUCCUACGGGAGGCAGCAGUGGGGAAUAUUGGACAAUGGGCGCAAGCCUAAUCCAGCCAUACCGCGUGGGUGAAGAAGGCCUUCGGGCUGUAAAGCCCUUUUGUUGGGAAAGAAAAGCAGCAGGUUAAUACCCCGCUGUUCUGACGGUACCCAAAGAAUAAGCACCGGCUAACUUCGUG